UUUCACAUACGAACAGAAGUGAUUGUGCUAGCCAGCCUCCGCAGAUCCUCACCUCUGCAAUUCUUGCCCUUGUCUAGUUGCUCCCCUCCCCCAUACUGAGCGGAGCUAACCUGUGUGACCAGGAGAUCCUGCAUAACCGUGUGUGAAAUCCAUCACCACCUCCUCCUGUUCUUUAGAUGGUUCUUUUGGAAGGAAGACAGCCACCGCACGGUGAGGACGUUCACAGAGCCCCGUGGGGAAGGCGGUGGCCAACAGCCGUACAAACAAGACCACCGAGGACUUCCAUUCCGACUGGAGACUUCAGAUGGCAGCGGACACAGCGGCAAAGGCAGCUCCAGGCAGCAGUUCCCAGGCCAGCUGCAGAUUUGAUUAACAAGAAGGCUGGACAGAUGCAUCCUAUCACAGAGGCAGUGAGAAAGCCCCCACCAAAUGCCAGCCUGUUUCAUCACUUCCCAGCCAAGGAGAAUUUUCAUAUGAUCCUGAUGCCUGUCUGGUCAACGAUCCCAUAAUGGCAGCUCUGGUAACUGAACACUGGCCAUGGGUCAGGUAUCCUGAGUUGUGGAGAUAGCUUUGGUGGCAAUUACACAUAAGUAGUCUGAGGCCCAGCGUAGUAGACUAAUUUACCCACGGUGACAGAGCUGAGGUGACAGGAUCGGAUGGACCUAUAAGCCCUCUUUACGUAUUCUGCUAAUCAUUUGCUGGUGCAAAUCAGGACGGGAAAGGUAGGAGCACAGUGAAGGAAAGAGAUUGAGUUGCCCUUGACUCCACCUGAGAGUUCAUGGCAGCAUACUGCUCAGAUGGCUUCUGGAGUCCCUGCUGAUUCAUUUUUACUUGGUUUAUAAUUCCAAAUCUCUGUCCAAGAUCCCUGAGCAGCGGUUAUACCCGCCUUUGCGUGUCUCUCUGCCCAGUGCAACAUUCAGCAACAUCAUAUGGUUACCUGGAAAUUGGCCCUGGUGGGCGUAUUUACACCACAGAACUUGGCAAAUACCACAGCUCACAACGUCCCCACCCCAGAGCUCCUGGUUAAACACUGACUUGCCUCUAAGGAGAAGCCUCCAGACACUGCCUUAUUAAAUAUUAUU